rnacentral:rRNA from 1 species
GGGCCCGCACAAGCAGUGGAGUAUGUGGUUUAAUUCGAAGCAACGCGAAGAACCUUACCAAGCCUUGACAUCUCCUGCAUAGCCAAGAAACUGGUGAAACCCUUCGGGGCAGGAAGACAGGUGGUGCAUGGUUGUCGUCAGCUCGUGUCGUGAGAUGUUGGGUUAAGUCCCGCAACGAGCGCAACCCCUGCCGAUAGUUACUACGAGAAGAGGACUCUAUCGGGACUGCCGUUGACAAAACGGAGGAAGGAGGGGAGUGAUGUCAAAUCAUCAUGCCCUUUAUGGCUUGGGCUACACACGUACUACAAUGGCCGCAAACAAUGGGAAUCGAAGGGGCGACCCGGAGGGAAUCCGUUAAAAGCGGUCUCAGUUCGGAUCGCAGGCUGCAACUCGCCUGCGUGAAGUCGGAAUUGCUAGUAAUCGCGGAUCAGCAUGCCG